rnacentral:lncRNA from 1 species
GAGGGGGAGGUUGGGGGAUAUCAUGUGGCUUUGGAACGCGAGGCAACGGGGGAUGGGGGAUUCGAAGGCUGAAACGGACACGGCGGCCGGCGGCCGGCGGCGCGGAGGGUGUGCUUGUCUAUACUUCUACAUGGCGAUGGCGACGCUGCUCGCGGCAACAGUUCACGACGGGGACGGAGGCGAAGGCGGAGGCGGACGGGGAGGGGGAGGCGGAGGCGACGGCGAUGGUGCAGGACAGGACGGGUGGCUGCCGCGUAUGGUGUGAGGAGGACGUGU